rnacentral:rRNA from 1 species
GACGAACGCUGGCGGCGUGCUUAACACAUGCAAGUCGAACGGAAAGGCCCUGCUUGCCGGGUGCUCGAGUGGCGAACGGGUGAGUAACACGUGGGUGAUCUGCCCCUUACUUUGGGAUAAGCCUGGGAAACUGGGUCUAAUACUGGAUAGGACCAUGCUGUAGGUGGUGUGGUGGAAAGAUUAGUUUCGGUAAGGGAUGAGCUCGCGGCCUAUCAGCUUGUUGGUGGGGUACUGGCCUACCAAGGCGUCGACGGGGAGCCGGCCUGAGAGGGUGGACGGCCACAUUGGGACUGAGAGACGGCCCAGACUCCGACGGGAGGCAGCAGGGGGGAAUAUUGCACAAUGGGCGCAAGCCUGAGGCAGCGACGCCGCGUGGGGGAUGACGGCCUUCGGGGGGUAAACUCCUUUCAGCCAUGACGAAGCCUUGGGGUGACGGUAGUGGUAGAAGAAGCACCGGCUAACUACGUG